UACGAAGGGGGCUAGCGUUGCUCGGAAUCACUGGGCGUAAAGCGCACGUAGGCGGAUCUUUUAAGUCAGAGGUGAAAUCCCAAGGCUCAACCUUGGAACUGCCUUUGAUACUGGGGAUCUUGAGUCCGGGAGAGGUGAGUGGAACUGCGAGUGUAGAGGUGAAAUUCGUAGAUAUUCGCAAGAACACCAGUGGCGAAGGCGGCUCACUGGCCCGGUACUGACGCUGAGGUGCGAAAGCGUGGGGAGCAAACAGGG
rnacentral:rRNA from 1 species